UCCCUGGCAGUCCAGUAGUUAAGACUCAGUGCUUUCACUGCUAUGGCUCAGGUUCAAUUCCUGGUCAGGAAA
rnacentral:tRNA from 1 species